UACGGGGGGGGCAAGCGUUGUUCGGAAUUACUGGGCGUAAAGGGCUCGUAGGCGGCCAACUAAGUCGGAUGUGAAAUCCCCAGGCUCAACUUGGGAACUGCAUCCGAUACUGGAUGGCUUGAAUCCGGGAGAGGGAUGCAGAAUUCCAGGUGUAGCGGUGAAAUGCGUAGAUAUCUGGAGGAAUACCGGUGGCGAAGGCGGCAUCCUGGACCGGCAUUGACGCUGAGGAGCGAAAGCCAGGGGAGCAAAGCGGG
rnacentral:rRNA from 1 species